rnacentral:rRNA from 1 species
GUGUCAGCAGCCGCGGUAAUACGUAGGGUGCGAGCGUUAAUCGGAAUUACUGGGCGUAAAGCGUGCGCAGGCGGUUCGUUGUGUCUGAUGUGAAAGCCCCGGGCUCAACCUGGGAACUGCAUUGGAAACUGGCGGACUUGAGUGUGGCAGAGGGGGGUGGAAUUCCGCGUGUAGCAGUGAAAUGCGUAGAGAUGCGGAGGAACACCGAUGGCGAAGGCAGCCCCCUGGGCCAACACUGACGCUCAGGCACGAAAGCGUGGGGAGCAAACAGGAGGAUAAACCACGGGAUUAC